rnacentral:rRNA from 1 species
CGAGGGGUAGAGUUCUUCGGAAUUUGAGACCGGCGCACGGGUGCGUAACGCGUAUGCAAUCUACCUUUUACAGAGGGAUAGCCCAGAGAAAUUUGGAUUAAUACCUCAUAGUAUAUAGCCCUGGCAUCAGGAUUAUAUUAAAGUCACAACGGUAAAAGAUGAGCAUGCGUCCCAUUAGCUAGUUGGUAAGGUAACGGCUUACCAAGGCUACGAUGGGUAGGGGUCCUGAGAGGGAGAUCCCCCACACUGGUACUGAGACACGGACCAGACUCCUACGGGAGGCAGCAGUGAGGAAUAUUGGACAAUGGGCGCAAGCCUGAUCCAGCCAUGCCGCGUGCAGGAUGACGGUCCUAUGGAUUGUAAACUGCUUUUAUACGAGAAGAAACACUGCUUCGUGAAGCAGCUUGACGGUAUCGUAAGAAUAAGGAUCGGCUAACUCCGUGCCAGCAGCCGCGGUAAUACGGAGGAUCCAAGCGUUAUCCGGAAUCAUUGGGUUUAAAGGGUCCGUAGGCGGUUUAAUAAGUCAGUGGUGAAAGCCCAUCGCUCAACGGUGGAACGGCCAUUGAUACUGUUAAACUUGAAUUAUUAGGAAGUAACUAGAAUAUGUAGUGUAGCGGUGAAAUGCUUAGAGAUUACAUGGAAUACCAAUUGCGAAGGCAGGUUACUACUAAUGGAUUGACGCUGAUGGACGAUAGCGUGUGUAGCGAACAGGAUUAGAUACCCUGGUAGUCCACGCCGUAAACGAUGGAUACUAGCUGUUGGAAGC